rnacentral:rRNA from 1 species
UACGGGGGGAGCAAGCGUUGUUCGGAUUUACUGGGCGUAAAGGGCGCGUAGGCGGCGCAACAAGUCACUUUGUGAAAUCUCCGGGCUUAACCCGGAGCGGCCAAGUGAUACUGUCGUGCUAGAGUGCGGAAGGGGCUACUGGAAUUCUCGGUGUAGCGGUGAAAUGCGUAGAUAUCGAGAGGAACACCUGCGGCGAAGGCGGGUUGCUGGCUGAUACUGACGCUGGAGGCGCGAAAGCCAGGGAGCGAACGGGAUUAGAGUACCC